UGUGUGAUGUGUUUUCGUGUGUGAUGUGUGUUAGUGUGCAAUGUGUUAGCGUGCGUGAUGUCUCACUGCUGUUCAAGUGGACAUUAGCAUUGUCAGGUGGCCUCUGCAGUGUGGGGGUUCCUCUGGUCUGAGCUUGGCAGCCCCUUACCUCAGAGUCCAGGCCUCCUGUGUGUCCUCCAGAGAUAGUUCUCAUGGCAGCACUGGCUGCCCGAGCCCCCAGAGAUGCACUGGGCCCAGCCGCCAUCUUCACAAAUGGUGAACCUCUCCCUUCAAACCACACUGUAGGCACAGGCAGCUGCUGCAAGGCUGAGUCUCUGUGGAAUCCCUUCCUCUCCGAAGGGGCCUGUGAACCGUGACCGAGGGCAGUGAGGAGGGAUCUGGAGAAUCUCAGGGCGCGAGGACACUGGCGGGGCAAGUACGGGGGCAAACCUGCAGGGGCAGCUGCCAGGAGCCAAAAUCAGGGUCAACCUUUCCGUGAGGUGCUUUUGUGCAAACUGAUGUUUAGCUCCUGACUUAAGUAAAAAACAUCCUUACGUCUUAGGUACAUUUGUAAAACCUGGGUUUUAUAUGUGAUGGAAAUAAUGUACCAUCAGUAUUGCAGCGUUGCUAAAACAGGGCAAGGUUUUCUAUUAUGGGGUGACCCUGGGGUCUUCUAUUAUCAGGGUGACCCUGGGUCUUCUAUUAUCGGGGUGACCCUGGGGUUUUCUAUUAUCGGGGUGACCCUGGGGUUUUCUAUUAUGGGGUGGCCCUGGGGUCUUCUAUUAUGGGGUGGCCCUGGGGUUUUCUAUUAUCGAGGUGACCCUGGCUCCCGUGGCAAAUGCUGUCCCCAGUAGCACGUGGGGCUCUUCAGCUUAUCUGAGUGCCGCGUCUCCAUGGGCGGCAAUUUCUCGGAGGCCUGGCACGGCGGCACCGGAAGCGGGUACUGGUGCCCUAAGGAGCGGGAGGGUCAACGUCCGGGGCCUGCCCUGCACUCGCCGAGGUGAUGGGUUGGUUAGAGGAGCCACAGUUCCUCUCCGUGCACUCACGUGAAUUACGCGCGGUGACUCAGCAGCCCCAUGACGUCAUGGCUCUGAGCGAGCGGCCGAGCGUCGGUGCCCCAGUCCAGCCCUUGCUGUUCCUUCACACUCACGUUUCCAAGCUGAAAACGCGAGGGGCUCAAAACUGGAAAGGAAAACAGCGUGGUCGGCCUCUCGUUCCUGCGACGCGUUCUGUGGGUGAUGGAAAGAUGGGGGAGGAGGAGGGACCACCCAGGGUGCCCCCCGCCGACCGUUACCCGCCCUUUGCCCCAAGGCUGUCUUUGAGGUCGGUCUUUCUGGGGCUGUGGCCCAAAUGAAGUCAAGAGACAGCAUCGGGCGUUGACUGUCCCCUCGUGUGGGCCGGGCACCGACCCUGCCUGGGGUUGCUGGGCACCAGCGCUCGUCACAAUAAAAAACCCACAGUGAAGAUGGGUCAGGGGUUUGCACUGCGCCAGGUCUGCUCAUCCCCAAAGCCACGGUUUUCCCAUCGCAGGUGGUCUGGAAGCACCAGACGGCGCGCGUGUGGGGUGGCCAGCGACGGGCUGCCACGGAGGUGUGCGACCUGCAGGCCACAGACAUUCCCAGAGAGCCCCUGCGUGCAAAACAUGGACACACAGAUGUUUGUGAAGCUCUGGGAUGGCGUUUAGCAGGAGGAAUAACGGGGUCUUCAGAGAAUCAACAAAAUAAAUGUAGCACCUGUUGGGUUAUUGAAACCAGUUGUUAUUAGGAAGGGAUCUGGGGCAAUUGAUGAAGAAACAGGAAGACGACAAAACUCAAGGUCCAAGAAUGAGGAAGCCGAGGAAGAAUGAGGAAGCCGAGGAAGAAUGAGGAAGCCGAGGAAGAAUGAGGAAGCCGAGGAAGAAUGAGGAAGCCGAGGAAGAAAGCAGCCGCCGUGUGGAGCCGCCCAGAGACUGGCACUCACCUGUGUCACUGUGCGGGGAGGGCAGGGUCUCGCCAGCAGCCGGUGGCACAUGCGGGCGGCACGGGGGCUGCGUGGUGGCCUCUGUGAUGUCACCUGGCAGAGGUGCCUGAGCUGGGCCCGGCGUGGAGGGCAUAGGCCUCACUCUCUGACUGCCUGACAGUCCCUACAGGUCGACCAGGGAGCACAGAGCCCUGAACAUCCCUUCAACAGCGCGCCACACGCUCCUGGCACAAACUCCAGACCACGGCACAGCACCCAGAUGGCUGCAGCCACGCAGGUGACACAGGGUCCAGAAACCUUGACAAAAAAGAUACUUCGGGGCAUUGGGAUGUGUGAGGCUCAGGUGGGAGGAGAAGGCUCCAGCCCUCACCACGCUUGGCCCUGCCUCCAGCAAGGACCCCCACCCCAGGGCUCCAGGCCUCGGGCUGCUGCCUGUCUGAUGUGAGCGUCCUCACCCUGUCCAGAAACCCACAACUGCCAGGACCGUGGGGUGACAGCCACGGUGGGCUCUGCAGGCCCCUCUGGUCUAAGACACCAGGAGGCCACAUCCAGCAACCAAGGCCACCCGGCAGGACACGUCAGGAUGGAGGUGCAGUGAAGACUGCGGUGGACGCCUCCAGAGGUUCCCACUUGGCUUCCAGUGGAGCCUCUGCCAAACCCGGCCUGUGCAAGGGCAGAGACAAGGCCCAGCAGGGCUCGAGCAGGCCCAAACGCACGACGCAGCUGCUGUGCCUGGGUCUGAGCUGCACCCACAGUUUUCCUGGCGUCUUGUCCUCUGGAUGGGCCUCUGGAUGAACAUAAACUCCAGGGAAGCUGCAUAGAAUAUGCAGCUCUUCUUUAACGCUCCCUAGAGGAAGAAAGCCCCUCAGCCGGAAGUAUUGUUGACGUCGCCGCCACUACUAAUGAAAUAUUUACUGAAAAGCCAAAGCGAAACAUUUUUCUAGUUAAUUAAAACAGUGCAUCUUUCAAGCAAGCUCCCUCGAGGGGCCAGGCUCGGACGGACCCAGCGGGCAGGCAACCCGAGGUGCUCCUGAGUGGGGUCUCGACUGGGAAGGGGGCGCCCAGGACGCAGGUGGGGUUCCUGCCACACGACACUGAGGGGUGGGGGGACAGACGCUGCAGAGACCCUGCGAAAGGCCCCUCCCGAUGGGUAAACUCACACUUGGUACACGCUGGCAGGGGCAUCUGGGCCUGCACUCUGGAAUUGGUGGUGGUCCUGGGAAGGUUUUUUGGGCCAGGGACAAGAGUACUUGGGUUUGCUUUCUGGAAAAAUGAAAAAAGAGAAGUU
rnacentral:lncRNA from 1 species